ACGUUAGCGGCGGACGGGUGAGUAACACGUGGGUAACCUACCUAUAAGACUGGGAUAACUUCGGGAAACCGGAGCUAAUACCGGAUAAUAUUUCGAACCGCAUGGUUCGAUAGUGAAAGAUGGUUUUACUAUCACUUAUAGAUGGACCUGCGCCGUAUUAGCUAGUUGGUAAGGUAACGGCUUACCAAGGCGACGAUACGUAGCCGACCUGAGAGGGUGAUCGGCCACACUGGAACUGAGACACGGUCCAGACUCCUACGGGAGGCAGCAGCA
rnacentral:rRNA from 1 species